CUGUGCCGAGCCGAGCAGAGCAGAGGGCUGUGAGAUGAGAAAGCCCCUGAGUAAAGGAGAAUGCAGGCGAACGCUUGUAAUUGGGCCCUGAGUAUCAGCUGCCAAAUAUCUCCUGUUAGUUCUCUGCGCUUUUUCCCCCCGCUAUUACUAUGCUAAUACUAUGCCAUCUAUGCAUGCAAAUGAGACAGGGUACACUUGGCAGAGUUCCUGCCCUCAGCUGGUCUCUGUCACAGGGAAAGUAAUGCUCACUUUUCUCCCACUGAUCGCUGACACAAAAACACACAUUACCUUCAGCAGGUGUUCUCACUGCAUCCAUGAUGUGCUGCAGAACUGUCAGGCACAAAUGUUCUGCAGCCUAAAACUGUAUUUUAUGUGAUGUGACGUACUAACUAUUUCUAUAGAUCCAUGCUGUGUUCAGAGAGCUCACUGCUUAAUGUGUGUUGAGAUGUGAAACAAACAUGUUUGCAUUAGUAUUGGGCUUUUUUAUUGUUGGACAAUUGAUGCAUCAAAGUCAACAAUCUACAAUCAGUCUACAAGCACCUAUUUCAAUAACAACACUUGGAAGAACAGUUUUUAAUGCAAGGAGCUGUCUAAUUCUUAUUUUCACUACAUUCGUGUUUUCCUCUGGGUUUGAUUUUCAGCAGCCAACUGUCAUAUCUCACAGAGAGCCUUUCACCAGCAUGUGGAUGAACCGUACAUCGGUUUUAGACUUUACAGGUGGGCUUUAGGCCUAAUUUCUACUCAGAGUUGAGCCACGUUUAACAAUUGAGGUUGCUUUCACACCUGUAGUUUGUUCCAGGCCAAAGAAAAAUUGCCUUUUUGAGUUCUGGCCUGUUUCCUGUUCAAACUGACUUUUUUUUCUUUUUUUUUUACAAGCAAACCAAGAGGAGUAAACAUAAAGUUCACAAGUGAUCAACAAUAGCGUUUACCGAUAUUAGUUUCAAAUAAGGCACAUCAUCUUUACUCAGAUCUAUUCAGACAGCUAUGGUGCACAUAUAGAAAUGUGAUCAGUUGUUCAGUCAUUGUUAAUCCCAGAGCUGUGCACUGUUAAUAUGGCCACCGGGUGCUGUGUCACAGAAGCUCUUUGUUGCUCUUCCUUAUGUUUCACAGAACUAUAACGACUCUUUAAAAACAGGAGCGUCGUUUCCGAUCCCGUCUCUGGUGUUACAUUGUAUCUGCAUACAUCCUGAGGACGAACCAGCAGUCUUUCCCACCUCCUAUUGUGUGUGUGUGUGUGUGUGUGUGUGUGUGCGUGCGGGAGAUCUUCUCUGCAGAGGUUGGGCCGGCUGCUGUCUGAAGCACUCUUAUCUUAAGUAAAUUAUGACAUGAUGUGUUGACAGACCAAACAAAGGUAAAGAGAUAUUCCCAUGGUGUAGGAUGCCUGGCCUCCAGCAUGAACACACCACGCUCUGUGUGUUCCCAUACAGGCGAGCCAGAGCUAAUUGCAAGUUGGCCAAGUUAGGAUUACAGAAAUUAAAGUAAAGGCAGUUUACUUUGGCUUAAUGUAGCAGCUCGUCCUACCUGUAAUUUGCCCUCAUAAGUACAUGUUGUGUCAUAGUUAGCCACAUCUCUCCUCCUUGUGCUCCUUGUCUGUCAUCUGUUCGUCUCUUGGUGUGUGUGUGUGUGUGUGUGUGUCUGUGUGUGUGUGUGUCUGUGUGUACGGGCCUGGGCGGGGCGCUUGGGUUUUCCCUCCUGCUGCGGAUCACCGGCACACCUGACGUUCAUCACCCAAUCAGCUCCCACAGUACAUGUACCUGCAGCCGGCGCCGGGUCGUCUCAGCACGUCACCACGUCACCGGCGCUACGGCGACAAACCCGGCCAAGUGGAGCUCUUGUCGCCGUCUCCUGUGUAAGCUCGGCUGUCCCUGCCGGUGAUCGCAGCCGCCCUGUCCUCUCCGAUCUCUGCAAACUGCCUCUCCUGUCCGUCUCCAGAACCCGGUCUCACCUCUCCGCUCCUGAGCCCAGUCGGACCAGCCUGACCCAUCGACCAGUGACUGUUUACCGUGUUGCAAUGAAGACUGUUAAAGCCGCUAUCCAGCUGUGCUCCGCUUUUGGGCCCUUCGAUCGUGCACCACAACAUGUUGUGCAUGUUCAGUCCUGGGACUGCAGGUUCUUAAAUUACUGAUUGUGAACCUGAUGGUUUUCUACAGCCAACUAUUUUUGUCUAACAGUUACAGACACACAUGGACACAUUUUGUUAAACUUUUUUUUUUUAUAGAUUUCUUAAUGAAAAUAUUUUGCGCUCAUGCCUUUGUCUCAGUAAGGCCUAUUUUGAGAAGUAUUUGGCCUUUUCAUACUGGAUCCGAAAGGAAACAGUCCACUGAAUGUUUUUUUUGUUAAUGAUAUAACACUGACAGGGUCCACUCUGAGAAACGAAUACUUUUACUUUUGAUACUUUCAGUACAUUUUGCUGAUAAUACUUUUGUACUUUUACUACUUUGAAUGCUGAACUUGAGCAUUUCUGUGGCGUGGUAUCACUACUUCAGUUUGCUAGUCAGCUCAACUUGCCUGCAAAUGUAAUUUUGGUCAUUUUAGAUGUAAAGUGUUGUGGUGCUUUUUCCUCAGUGCAUCUGCUAACAAACAAUGUCUGUCCUUGGCUUGUAAGCUACAGUUACCUGCAGAUAUUUGUCUGCAUUGUGACUCCAUGCCCCUGUAGGGGGCAAUUAAACGCUUAAACACUUAAAAGGUAAAUACAGUAACUGGUAUAUCCCCAGUGACCCUUUUUCAUCCUUUCAAUAAUAUGAAUAUAUUGGCCACAAAAAGGGAUGACUAAUUGUAAUUUCAAUUGGGUUUUAAAAUCCCUAAUAUUCAGGAACAAGUGAAGUUCCAUACUGUUAUAAAUGGAACACUGUUUUGCUUCUUGUCUACAAUUCUCUUUAUUCAGGGGUUUUUACUUCACAUCACUACCGAAAACAGUUCUGCUGUGAUAUCUGUAAUACAGACCAAGAGGCUCAACGACCUUCAGAAAGGUUAUGGUGCAACAGUGAAGCAAUGAAUGAAGACAUGCUGAGGCCAUAAGAGGAAGAGAAAGAAAGACUGAAACAGACUUGAGUCAGUUUUUUGUCUGGAAUGCAGAGUGGCGUAGCCGGAGUCAGAACACACAGAGGCAGUGUUGGUGCAUUACGGAGAAUGCAUUCAAAUGUGCAACUUGCACAGUCAAUCAGCUCCAAAACUGCAGAACCAGAGCGGACACCAACAGACAUCAGGGCCCCAUUCCUCGGACGUGGAUAACCGAGUUAUCCAGAUCAGAAUGUUGACGAUUUGACAUGAGUCUGGAUUUUUUUGGUUCUUCGAAGCUGCUCAGAAUUCAUCUUGAACUGUUGUCAUAGCAACAAGCCCUUAAGCCUAAACCUGCAAAAGUGCAGGCUUAUUGACAAUUAGCUUGACCAAGAUGUUUUAGGGUGAACCCCAAAUAAAAAAGAAAAGAAAAGUUUGUACACUAAAAAACCCCAAUCUAAAUGUAGUUUGAGAUUCUGUGAGAACUGGAGGGGGAAAAAGCUUAGAAAGGGUGAACUCAGUGUUUGAAAGCUUGAAAUCUAAUAAAGCCCAGGAGAACAGUGACAAAUUUGAAACUCUGAAACGUUGUUGGAGAAACACUGUAAAAAGAGUGCUGUAGUUGUGAAGAAGGAAAACUCAAAUACAAAAUAAUGUUUGCAGAGAUUUAAAAAAAAAUCAGCCUAUCAAAACAUUAUGCAAGCCUACAAAACUUAGUUUCAAUCUUGCAAAACCUUUUUUAUUAGAUUUCAAGCUUUCAAACACUGAGUAUCAACCUUUCAAAGCUUUUUUUUCCCAGUUUCAAGAUAUGACCUGAUUUUCAUCCCAUAUGAAUCCCAAUGUCCAGUACAGUACCAGUAAGCUGCCAGUGUGCGAUAAAGUGCCCUCUGCAAUUUUGCAUCUGUCACACAAAAAAUCUAGAUGGAUAAAUAGAAACAGGCAAGAAGAAAAAUGUGUAUUUUUGGUUUGGGGUGAACUGUCCCUUUAAGUGUCCUAUAUUAAAUAAAUAAAAAAGACGUUAUGAAAUUAAUAAUCAUAUGGAUAAAUGUGUAAAAUAUAUAAAUGAAACAACAAGUUGGUAAAUUAUUUAAGACAUUAUUAAAACUGAACUAAUUUGCUUAACUCAUCAUUAUCAUUUUCAUAAUAGCAGAGUUUUAUUGGAUAUUAUUUUUAUUUCAUUAUAGACAUUUUAUUUCAAAAUUCCCUUUUUCAAAUGUCUUAUUUUUUUAUUUCAUAAGGGUAUUUUUCCCAGUUACACUUUUAUUUCAUAAUGUCACCUCUCACCUUACAGUCAAUCACGUACCCCCGCUUCUCUUAAGCUAGCAAGCUCAACAACUAGGCCUACUACCGAAUUUAGCCAGUUAGCUUCUGUUAGCUAGAGCAGAAGUAAUUUUGAAUCAACCAACUAGAGGCUGCUGCUGUAAAUAAACACAGUACACAGACACAGUAACUAACGUUAAACCUCUUCAGCUUUUAAGCCUUAGCUUAACAAGGCUGCUAAUGCUACCUACCUUGCCAGCUAACUAGCUAGGCUGGGUUGUGAGCUUGGAUUAUUACUCUGCAUCAAAGUGAAGAGCCAGCGUUAGCAGUGCUAGCUAGCUCCUGUUGGCUAGAGCAACCACAGAGAAAGCUACACUGUGUUUUUGUUCUUUAAAGAGUGAAAGAGUUGUGCGUCUUUGUCUGAGGAACAUCUUUAGAAUCAAAACACAGCCGAGGUAACUGAAUUAACCAGCUAGCUGCUGCCAUAAACACUGUGUCUUCACUUUGAUGCUGAUAAAUAAAUCAAGCUCACAACCCAGCCUAGCUAGUUAGUCAGCUAAAUACACUGGUACAGGUAACUAAUGAGUUUCUUAAAUAAUUUCACAAAUUAUUAUUUCAUUUAGAUAUUUUACACAAUUUAACUAUAUGAUAUUGAACACUUUGGGGCUCCAUAAAAGUGUAUUUAAUGAGCCAAAGAAAAAAGUUUGGCCUGGAGGACAGAUAAGAUAGGUAGACAAUUUAAUAUUUUAACAGGGAGUCUAAUGUGACUGCUUCUUGUCUCAUCUGUAAGAAGAAAGUUGCAGUCUUUAAGGACUAGAAUCUGGCAUUACUUCACUAAACAUGUAGAGGCAAAGGAGUGUAAGUAAAUAGUUGAAAUUUAUUCCUGAGUGUUCAAGUGGGCCCUCUAUGAGAGAACAACUUGGCCAGUGGCCCUUAGGAAAUUUGAAUUUGAGACCCUUGCUCUACAUGAAACUGUUACAUGGUCACAACCUAACCGGCACUUUGGUAAGAUCGCACUAUUUUCAAGGAUGGUGCAGUCAUGUAAAACGUUUCUGGUUUGUUGUAGUACAACAGUAAAAUAACAUUUUACAAGUAUUAGUAGAUUUGUUUCCCAUUCCAUAUUCCAUUUUUUCCAUUAAUGUGUAGUUUGUGUAUG